rnacentral:rRNA from 1 species
CUAGGAUAUAGCUGGUUUUCUGCGAAAAUUGUUUUGGCAAAUUGUUUAUUUUUUUUUCAUUCAUUCAAAGAAUGAAUGUAUAAUAAUAAUAAUAGUGGGUAUAGCACUGAAUACUUUGGGGGAGUAUUAUUAUAUUUAUCUCGGGUAUUUAAUCUCAAAAUAACUAUUUAUUUAUAGGUAAAUAAUCAGACUAUUUGCGAUAAGCUAGAUAGUCG